rnacentral:lncRNA from 1 species
GUGGAUCUUAUUUUGACAUUUUGGAGGUGCUUCCCGUUUUACCUCUUAACUUCACGAGAAUCCAUGUGAAUGCACUGUUUGUGUAUAGCCUCUUUUGUUCCACAUUGCAUUCAAGUUUUUGGGUCACUGUAGCUCAUUCCUUUUCGUUGCACUACACUUGUGUUUCUCUGCGUGGACCUGUCACAAUUUAACAUCCGUCGUAUGAUCUGUGAACACAGGGUGCUUUUCUUUUGGAAUACUAUGAAGAGAGCUCCUGUGACCAUUAUUGUCCAGGAACAUGAUGCAAAUAAGCAGAAGUUUCUCAGGUAUUUGCCUAAGAGUGCAAUAGCUAAGUUAUAGGGUACUUGAGACUUCAAUUUAGCCAGAAAAUAAAAGUACUAUUUCCAAGUGGCGUGCCGGUUUACAUUUCUAAAAAGUUGAUGAGCGUUUCCACUGUUCCACAGGAGUACGUGGAAUUUUCAGUCUUAUAUAGCCAAUCUUGUGGGUGGGUAUGAUGUCUCUUGGUGGCUGUACAGUCUGCGUUUCUCGGAAUGCUGAUGAGGUUGAACACCUUCACAAAUGUUUUUUGACCCAUCCUUUACAUUUUGACUCCCCUAAAAUGAGCUCUCCUCCCCACCCAUCUGUCCCAACUGCUCUACUCCGGGAUAACAGUGAAUGACUCUCCAUUGUCAAAUCAAACGAUUGACGCUCAGUGCUCACCUGUGGACCCAUCAGCAACAUUUCAAAGAUAAUCGGUGCGUUCCCAUUUGCCUUUUGGAAGGAUCACUCUGCCUGCUGGGUGGAAAAUAGGCUGCUGGGGAAGCCAGGGUGGAAGCAGGGAGCCCAGUUAAAGACUUCUGCGGUUGUCUAGGAGGGAGCUGAUGGUGACUUGGAGUGCAUUGGAGAGUUGGGGGUGGUGAUAAGAGGUCACAUUCUGGAUAUAUGUGGAAGGUAGAGCCAAGGGAAUCUGCGGACGGACUGGAUUUGGAGUGUAAAUCUCUCCUAGAAACACUGUCUUCUCUUGGUUUUCAGGACAACAUUCUCUCUUGGUGGUACCCCUACCACACCGGCCAGUCUUUCUCCCACUUCUUUUCUGAAUCCUCCUCAUCUUAUCCACAGCUACACAUGGGACGCCCUGGAAGUAAGUCCUCACCCAGUCCUGGGAUCUCUUCCUUUCUCUAGCUCUACUCGGAGUGCUCCUGAGGGCAGUGUCACCCAGUCCCGUGGCUUGGAAUAUCAUCUGUACACGGACAACUGUCAGAUGUACAUCUCUGCUGAUUUCUCUCCUGAGUUCCAGACUCAGUCAUCUUGCUGCCUAGCUGACAUGCCCACUUGGGUGUUUAAUGGGCGUCUCUAACUAAAGGUGUCUGAGGCCUGCGCGCGCUCUCUCUCUGUCUCUCUCUGUCUCUGUCUCACUCUGUCUCUCUCUCUCUUUCUCUCAUACUCUACGUCUGCUCCAUCAGCAGAUCCUUUCAGCUCUACCUCACAUUAUACCCAGACUCCAGCCUCCUCUCACCACCGCCACUUCAGCCACCUUCCUGAAAGCUGCCAACAUCACCCACUUGGCAAAUCACAAGAGUCUCUAAGGGUCCUCUGCUUCUGCGGUUGCCCAGUGCCCUGCACCUGCCUGUUCCUUGUUGACAUGGCAGAUGGAGUGAUCCUUCAGUGCUUCUCAGUUCCGGCCCCUCCUUUGCUAAAACCCUUCCAUGCUUCCCAUCUCCACUGACACAAAAGCAUCGUUCCUUACCAAGUCUUCACGUGACCUGUCUCCAGCCACAGCCCUCGACCACUGCUCUCCGCGAUGCUCCCUCUGUCCAGACAUGCUGACCUCCUUGCUGUGCUUCAAACAUGCCAAGCGAGCUCCUGUCUCAGGACCUUUUCACUUAGAGGUCCCUCUGCUUGGCUUGCCCUUCCCCUGAUACCUGCAGUGCUUCUUCCUCACUUUCUCCAUGUCCCUCAGAUGCCGCCUUAUCAGACAGAACUUCUCUGACCACGGCUUAAAAUAGCACUCCACCCUCACAUCACUCCCGUUCCCCGGGCACUGCUUCAUUUUGUUCCAUCGCACAUAUUCCAACCUGGCACAUCGUAUACUUAUCUGUUGACUGAUGUCAGGUUUGUAAUUUUUUAAACGUUCAUGGGAUCAGAGACUUUGUCUCAUUUACUAUCAUUUCCACGGUACUAGAACAGUUCUUAGGUAAAGACUCAACCGAGGUGGAAUGAAUGAACGAAUGAGUGAGUGAAUAGAGAGGGGUAACCUGUAUCGGUCCCUUAGUAAACUCAGACUUCUGUAGAAAGCAUCCAGCUUGGACAGCAAGGCCUGGAAUGUGGAAGUUGGCCCGCCCUGAGCCACCUGCACAUUAAGGAUUGAAGAUACGGUGGGGAGAGGGAGAAAGCUAGAAUGCCUGAUUCAGGAUCCAGGAAGCAGGAUUGCUUUUAAUGCCACCGUGGUCUUGGGUGGGGCUCUGAGGAAAAGAAUAAAGUCCCUACCAGUCUUACCCCUAACUGGGCCCAAGGCACACAUCAACCAAAUCUUGCUACUCACCCCAGAGAUUUAUAAUUUACUAGGGGAAAUAGAAUGUGUUUGCAAAUGACUGUAUGUCAGGUCAGAAUGCCGUGGAUAUAAAGGAAAUUCAGUAUUAUGACUUGAUAAUGGAUAAAUCUUGUCGUUGCUGAACAACGUACAGUGAAUAAUACAAUCUUACAUCCAUCAUCGCAUUUUAUUUUAGAUCUUCUCGGCAUUUAUUUGAGCGCCCGCUGCACGCCAAGCGCUGCGCUAGGUAGCAGCACACACGUGCCCUAAUUUAAUCUCUCAGCCACUCUGUGAGAGGCAUCCUUUGUGCGAUCGUCUUACUAGGGAGGAAUCCCAGGCCCGAGGAAGUGAAGUUCCAUGUCUAAGACCAGUCAGCCAGAAUGUAACACCCGAGACUUAGGGACAUGGACUAUGAAAGCCCCCUCAAUCAGAGAAAAGGUGACUUUCUUCUUUUGAAAAAAGGUGCUCUUUUGCUCAGAAAAUUCUUCCCGGUAGGAUUCGUCAGGCUAGAAGGACGCAGGACUCAAAGCUUACGCGGCACUCACGCUCUUAGCAUCCGAGGAGAAGACAAGAGCUCUCACAGUGCCUAUGGGAUACGUUCUGAGAAAUGUUCCGAUAGGCGACUUCGUUGUUGUGUGAACAUCACAGAGCGUACUCACGCAAUCCUAGAUGGCAUGGCCUACUACACACCCAGGCUAUAUGGGACUCAUCUUAGGGCACCAGCAUCGUAUAUGCGGUCCGUCAUUGACCAAAACGUCGUUUUGCGGCACAUGGCUGUGUUUGGAUUGGUUAUAAAAACAGCUAGUCUGACAGUAAAGAUGACUAAAAAUCGUAUCUGUCCUGGAAAAUCCGCGAAAAAGCUCACAGGUUCUGUUUUUAGGUGCAUCGUUAUAUAAAACGUAAAUACUUCAAUGCAGACUCUCAGUAGUUGGGGGAUUUGAUUCGAUGUACUGAUACCAUUUUGUUGCAACAGUUUUAGUUUUCCUAUGAGGAGAUUCCCGCCUGUGAGCUUUCCUUAAAUCGUGACACAUCAGUUACCUCAAAGUUGGGGUCCGUUCUCAUUUUCAAAGAGCAAGGAAUUAAUUGGUGGGCUUUUCGUUAUUUGGCAUAUUUAUUUGCAUUUCUUUAUUUUUCUAGUGACCUAAUGUAUCCACGGAACUAUAAAGGAUGGCUUUGGGUGGAUCUGGGGUCAGGGGAGGGCAUGAGGGAGAGCCUUUUCUCCUGUUCCCGGGCACUGACACUAUGCCUUUUAAAUUUCUAUUUUCCAUGUGAAAUUGUCUGCACUAACACCCAGCUCGUGAUUAUUAGGUGACUGAAAAUGCGUUACUGGAAGAAAUGCUGUGGUUUCGGAGUUUAUUCCCUUUGUCUCUUACAAGGUUUUCUUUCCGUUUCUUCAUGAAUGCAUGGGUACCUCCAGAAUUUGAGAUUCUGAGAACAUGUUCCACGAGUAAACACCUUUCUCACUCUCAAAGCGCCAACUGGAAAUUUCACUCAACGACAAGGAUGCAUAUAUGCCCCCUCUUCUAUAGAAAACAACCACUUGAUGGUCUGUUUCAGACUGACUCUCCUGUAAGUUCUUUCCCUGAGUAUCCUCAAAGAGAGCCCACGUUUCGUUCAAAAAAGUAGAGAAAGGUCUGCUGGAGCAGUUUGAGGAGCCUCCGCUGGCGCUGUGAGAGUUGGACUAGAUAGGGGUAGGGAAGAGUAAGGUCACUCAGCGGGAACAAGACUGAUCAAAAGCCCAGAGUGGGAAGUGGCCGCGGUAUGGAACGGGGACGGAGGUUCUCCCUCUUAGACGUGCUGAUAGGAGGAAAUGUUUCUUUUCAAAAGUCACGGGAGACAACGGAUGGAAAUGGACAGGAGGACCCAAUUGUCACAGUCCCUUCAUGCCACACCAAGUUUAUCUUUCUACUCUAGAUCAUGGGGGAGCAAUGGCAGUUCCUGAACUUGACUGUGGUGACAAAAUCAGUGUCUGGGGAAUCACAGGAAGGCUGUUGGAGAGCCCAGUCAGAUCGAUUAUAGCAAUGAAAUACAGGGUGAGGUUGCAAACACUUGGUCACUGACGAUUCCACCUCUGUUGUUUUCUUUUUAGGUAUUUACAAAAAUAUUUUCUAACUGUGAGAAGAGUCACUACGUCUUUGUCAUUCACAAAUUGAUCCAACACUUUCGUUAUCCUCGUAUAUUUCAUCCCGGCAUAAUCUCUUUAUCCGAGCUGCAGAGGAGAGAGUGCAAUUUGACUCCAAAUUAUGAGGACAGUCCCCAAAACACUCCUACGUGGACCAGAAAAGAUGGCAGGCUAGAGACAUCCAAAGAAAGCGAGGACCGAUCCGAGUCUCCCAGGGAGGGGCAUGACCUCUGGACUCCAGGAGCGCUAAUAUUGGCAGCAUCCAAACGUCCUUAAAGAAGGCCAUUAAGUUAGCUAAGCACAUUUACCUGGAACUUAAAUCGUGAUUCCCUUAUAUUUGGUAAGUUGUUAAGACUACGUGAUGCCAAUGAGCUUUUAUUAUAGUCACCAUCAGCAUGUGCAGUUAGGAAGGCUGCCCCGUCUGUUCUCCACUGAAGUGCUUCUCAGCAGAAAUCCUCCACACCUUCUUCAAAAGUCUCUAAUGACAAGUUUACGUUUGGAGGCCUUCAGUCACCCACUUUCACCCUCUUUCUCAAAGCUCUCAGUUGACUGCCAACUAACGGUGUGUUUUCGCCAUGAAUCUUGAUCUUCUGGCAUGGGACAUUCUGAGAUUUGGUUACCAGCAAAUCUUGUGGCCUGGAAAGUUACAUAACUGAAGGCUUGAUUUUGGAUUUUGCUCUGAAGUUUAGUUUGUGUUCCACCCACAGUAAUUAACAUAACCCUCUUGAAAGCGG